UUUAGCCUGAACACCCUGCAGAGGAAGAGAGAGGACAUAAUCAGUUCCAGCUGAGAUGCCACCGAAACCACCAUUAAUAAACCAUUUCAAUCA